rnacentral:rRNA from 1 species
GAUGAACGCUAGCGGCAGGCCUAACACAUGCAAGUCGAGGGAGAAGCCCUUUCGGGGGCAGAAACCGGCGCACGGGUGCGUAACGCGUAUGCAACCUACCUUUCACAGGGGGAUAGCCCGAAGAAAUUUGGAUUAAUACCCCAUAAUAUUAUUGGAUGGCAUCAUUUGAUAAUUAAAACUGCGGUGGUGAAAGAUGGGCAUGCGUCCUAUUAGCUAGUUGGAGUGGUAACGGCACCCCAAGGCUACGAUAGGUAGGGGUCCUGAGAGGGAGGUCCCCCACACUGGUACUGAGACAGGGACCAGACUCCUACGGGAGGCAGCAGUGAGGAAUAUUGGUCAAUGGUCGGAAGACUGAACCAGCCAUGCCGCGUGCAGGAAGAAUGCCUUAUGGGUUGUAAACUGCUUUUAGAUGGGAAGAAUAAGGCGUACGUGUACGUUGAUGACGGUACCAGAUGAAUAAGCAUCGGCUAACUCCGUG